GUUGUAUGGUUAAGUGAUUAAGCGUAGACGGUGGAUGCCUUGGCAGUCAGAGGCGAUGAAGGACGUACUAACCUGCGAAAAGCGAUGGUGAGCUGGUAAGAAGCAUUUGAGCCAUCGAUGUCCGAAUGGGGAAACCCACCUGCAUAAGCAGGUAUCUUAGCGUGAAUACAUAGCGUUAAGAGGCGAACUCGGGGAACUGAAACAUCUAAGUACCCGAAGGAAAAGAAAUCAAUUGAGAUUCCGGCAGUAGCGGCGAGCGACCCCGGAGCAGCCCUUAAGCGGCUUAGGCGUUAGGUGAACAGGUUGGAAAACCUGGCAAUAAAGGGUGAUAGCCCCGUAACCGACGGCGCCUUAGACGUGAAAACGAGUAGGACGGGACACGUGAUAUCUUGUCUGAACAUGGGGGGACCAUCCUCCAAGGCUAAAUACUCCUGACUGACCGAUAGUGAACCAGUACCGUGAGGGAAAGGCGAAAAGAACCCCUGUGAGGGGAGUGAAAUAGAACCUGAAACCGUCUACGUACAAGCAGUGGGAGCCUCCUUUGUGGGGUGACCGCGUACCUUUUGUAUAAUGGGUCAGCGACUUAAUGUUAGUAGCAAGGUUAACCGCAUAGGGGAGCCGUAGGGAAACCGAGUCUUAACUGGGCGAGUAGUUGCUAGCAUUAGACCCGAAACCGAGUGAUCUAGCCAUGGGCAGGUUGAAGGUUGAGUAACAUCA
rnacentral:rRNA from 1 species